UACGGGGGGGGGCAAGCGUUGUUCGGAAUUACUGGGCGUAAAGGGCUCGUAGGUGGCCAACUAAGUCAGACGUGAAAUCCCUCGGCUUAACCGGGGAACUGCGUCUGAUACUGGAUGGCUUGAGUUCGGGAGAGGGAUGCGGAAUUCCAGGUGUAGCGGUGAAAUGCGUAGAUAUCAUCAGGAACACCGGUGGCGAAGGCGGCUUUCUGGGUCUUACCUGACGCUGAGGAACGAAAGCUAGGGGAGCGAACGGG
rnacentral:rRNA from 1 species